rnacentral:rRNA from 1 species
GCUAACUCCGUGCCAGCAGCCGCGGUAAUACGGAGGAUGCGAGCGUUAUCCGGAUUUAUUGGGUUUAAAGGGUGCGUAGGCGGAAUGAUAAGUCAGUGGUGAAAGUUUUCGGCUCAACCGGAAAAUUGCCGUUGAUACUGUCAUUCUGGAAUAUGGUUGCUGUGGGCAGAAUGUGUGGUGUAGCGGUGAAAUGCAUAGAUAUCACACAGAAUACCGAUUGCGAAGGCCGCUCACAAAGCCAAUAUUGACGCUGAGGCACGAAAGUGUGGGGAUCAAACAGGAUUAGAUACCCUUGUAGUC